AGAACGAACGUUGGCGGCGUGGAUUAGGCAUGCAAGUCGAGGGAAUCCCAGCAAUGGGGGAACCGGCGUAAGGGGCAGUAAGGCAUGGGUACCUACCCCGGGGUCUGGGAUAGCCGUCCGAGAGGGCGGGUAAUACCGGAUGACGUGGUGACACCAAAGGUCCGCCGCCCUGGGCGGGGCCCAUGUGGUAUUAGCUAGUUGGUGGGGUAACGGCCCACCAAGGCGGAGAUGCCUAGCGGGUGUGAGAGCACGACCCGCGCCACUGGCACUGAGACACUGGCCAGACACCUACGGGUGGCUGCAGUCGAGGAUCUUCGGCAAUGGGGGCAACCCUGACCGAGCGACGCCGCGUGUGCGAUGAAGGCCUUCGGGUUGUAAAGCACUGUCGAGGGGGAGAAAAGCUCGUAAGGGCGUGAUCUAUCCCUGGAGGAAGCUCGGGCUAAGUUCGUGCCAGCAGCCAC
rnacentral:rRNA from 1 species